AUUGAACGCUGGCGGCAGGCCUAACACAUGCAAGUCGAGCGGUAGAGAGGUGCUUGCAUCUCUUGAGAGCGGCGGACGGGUGAGUAAUGCCUAGGAAUCUGCCUAGUGGUGGGGGGAUAAACGUUCGGAAACGGACGCUAAUACCGCAUACGUCCUACGGGAGAAAGCGGGGGAUCUUCGGACCUCGCGCCAUUAGAUGAGCCUAGGUCGGAUUAGCUAGUUGGUGAGGUAAUGGCUCACCAAGGCGACGAUCCGUAACUGGUCUGAGAGGAUGAUCAGUCACACUGGAACUGAGACACGGUCCAGACUCCUACGGGAGGCAGCAGUGGGGAAUAUUGGACAAUGGGCGAAAGCCUGAUCCAGCCAUGCCGCGUGUGUGAAGAAGGUCUUCGGAUUGUAAACUAGCUUUGUUACGGUAAC
rnacentral:rRNA from 1 species